UUGUAGUCUGCAACUCGACUACAUGAAGCUGGAAUCGCUAGUAAUCGCAGANCAGAAUGCUGCGGUGAAUACGUUCCCGGGUCUUGUACACACCGCCCGUCACACCAUGGGAGUCGGAAAUGCCCGAAGCCGGUGACCCAACCAAAAGGAGGGAGCCGUCGAAGGCAGGUCUGAUAACUGGGGUGAAGUCGUAACAAGGUAUC
rnacentral:rRNA from 1 species